CCUUUGAUAGUUCAGUUGGUAGAGCAGAGGACUGUAGAUCCUUAAGUCGCUGGUUGGAAUCCGGCUUGAAGGG